GACAGAGGGGGCAAGCGUUGCUCGGAAUCACUGGGCGUAAAGGGCGCGUAGGCGGGCUGCCGCGUCCGGGGUGAAAUCCCACGGCUCAACCGUGGAACGGCCCCGGGUACGGGCGGCCUCGAGGGGGGUAGGGGCGUGCGGAACUGUGGGUGGAGCGGUGAAAUGCGUUGAUAUCCACAGGAACUCCGGUGGCGAAGGCGGCACGCUGGACCCUCUCUGACG
rnacentral:rRNA from 1 species